rnacentral:rRNA from 1 species
GACGAAGGAUGCAAGCGUUAUCCGGAUUCAUUGGGCUUAAAGGGAGCGUAGGUGGCCUUAUAAGUCAGUGGUGAAAUCCUCCAGCUCAACUGGAGAACUGCCAUUGAUACUGGAAGACUUGAGUAUAGUUGAGGUAGGCGGAAUUGACAGUGUAGCGGUGAAAUGCAUAGAUAUUGUCAAGAACACCGAUUGCGAAGGCAGCUUACUAAACUAUAACUGACGCUGAGGCACGAAAGUGCGGGGAUCAAACAGG